GGGUUGUGAGGUUAAGCGACUAAGCGUACACGGUGGAUGCCCUGGCAGUCAGAGGCGAUGAAGGGCGUGCUAAUCUGCGAUAAGCGCCGGUAAGGUGAUAUGAACCGUUAUAACCGGCGAUACCCGAAUGGGGAAACCCAGUGUGACUCGUCACACUAUCAUUAACUGAAUCCAUAGGUUAAUGAGGCGAACCGGGGGAACUGAAACAUCUAAGUACCCCGAGGAAAAGAAAUCAACCGAGAUUCCCCCAGUAGCGGCGAGCGAACGGGGAGGAGCCCAGAGCCUGAAUCAGCAUGUGUGUUAGUGGAAGCGUCUGGAAAGGCGCGCGAUACAGGGUGACAGCCCCGUACACAAAAGCGCAUGUGCUGUGAGCUCGAUGAGUAGGGCGGGACACGUGGUAUCCUGUCUGAAUAUGGGGGGACCAUCCUCCAAGGCUAAAUACUCCUGACUGACCGAUAGUGAACCAGUACCGUGAGGGAAAGGCGAAAAGAACCCCGGCGAGGGGAGUGAAAAAGAACCUGAAACCGUGUACGUACAAGCAGUGGGAGCCCCACCACUAAGCCAGUGGUGAACUCCACAUAUGCAUCCUUUGCUGAGGAUACGGUUAACGGAGCGAAAGCGACGUUCAACCGCAAAAGAAGCAGAGGGGGCUUAGUGGUGGGGUGACUGCGUACCUUUUGUAUAAUGGGUCAGCGACUUAUAUUCUGUAGCAAGGUUAACCGAAUAGGGGAGCCGUAGGGAAACCGAGUCUUAACCGGGCGUUAAGUUGCAGGGUAUAGACCCGAAACCCGGUGAUCUAGCCAUGGGCAGGUUGAAGGUUGGGUAACACUAACUGGAGGACCGAACCGACUAAUGUUGAAAAAUUAGCGGAUGACCUGUGGCUGGGGGUGAAAGGCCAAUCAAACCGGGAGAUAGCUGGUUCUCCCCGAAAGCUAUUUAGGUAGCGCCUCGUGAAUUCAUCUCCGGGGGUAGAGCACUGUUUCGGCUAGGGGGCCAUCCCGGCUUACCAACCCGAUGCAAACUGCGAAUACCGGAGAAUGUUAUCACGGGAGACACACGGCGGGUGCUAACGUCCGUCGUGAAGAGGGAAACAACCCAGACCGCCAGCUAAGGUCCCAAAGUCAUGGUUAAGUGGGAAACGAUGUGGGAAGGCCCAGACAGCCAGGAUGUUGGCUUAGAAGCAGCCAUCAUUUAAAGAAAGCGUAAUAGCUCACUGGUCGAGUCGGCCUGCGCGGAAGAUGUAACGGGGCUAAACCAUGCACCGAAGCUGCGGCAGCGACGCUUAUGCGUUGUUGGGUAGGGGAGCGUUCUGUAAGCCUGCGAAGGUGGCCUGUGAGGGUUGCUGGAGGUAUCAGAAGUGCGAAUGCUGACAUAAGUAACGAUAAAGCGGGUGAAAAGCCCGCUCGCCGGAAGACCAAGGGUUCCUGUCCAACGUUAAUCGGGGCAGGGUGAGUCGACCCCUAAGGCGAGGCCGAAAGGCGUAGUCGAUGGGAAACGGGUUAAUAUUCCCGUACUUGGUGUUACUGCGAAGGGGGGACGGAGAAGGCUAUGUUGGCCGGGCGACGGUUGUCCCGGUUUAAGCGUGUAGGUGUGUGUUCCAGGUAAAUCCGGUUCACUUUAACACUGAGGCGUGACGACGAGGCAUUACGGUGCUGAAGCAACAAAUGCCCUGCUUCCAGGAAAAGCCUCUAAGCAUCAGGUAACAUCAAAUCGUACCCCAAACCGACACAGGUGGUCAGGUAGAGAAUACCAAGGCGCUUGAGAGAACUCGGGUGAAGGAACUAGGCAAAAUGGUGCCGUAACUUCGGGAGAAGGCACGCUGACACGUAGGUGAAGUGAUUUACUCAUGGAGCUGAAGUCAGUCGAAGAUACCAGCUGGCUGCAACUGUUUAUUAAAAACACAGCACUGUGCAAACACGAAAGUGGACGUAUACGGUGUGACGCCUGCCCGGUGCCGGAAGGUUAAUUGAUGGGGUCAGCGCAAGCGAAGCUCCUGAUCGAAGCCCCGGUAAACGGCGGCCGUAACUAUAACGGUCCUAAGGUAGCGAAAUUCCUUGUCGGGUAAGUUCCGACCUGCACGAAUGGCGUAAUGAUGGCCAGGCUGUCUCCACCCGAGACUCAGUGAAAUUGAACUCGCUGUGAAGAUGCAGUGUACCCGCGGCAAGACGGAAAGACCCCGUGAACCUUUACUAUAGCUUGACACUGAACAUUGAGCCUUGAUGUGUAGGAUAGGUGGGAGGCUUUGAAGCGUGGACGCCAGUCUGCGUGGAGCCGACCUUGAAAUACCACCCUUUAAUGUUUGAUGUUCUAACGUGGACCCGUAAUCCGGGUUGCGGACAGUGUCUGGUGGGUAGUUUGACUGGGGCGGUCUCCUCCUAAAGAGUAACGGAGGAGCACGAAGGUUGGCUAAUCCUGGUCGGACAUCAGGAGGUUAGUGCAAUGGCAUAAGCCAGCUUGACUGCGAGCGUGACGGCGCGAGCAGGUGCGAAAGCAGGUCAUAGUGAUCCGGUGGUUCUGAAUGGAAGGGCCAUCGCUCAACGGAUAAAAGGUACUCCGGGGAUAACAGGCUGAUACCGCCCAAGAGUUCAUAUCGACGGCGGUGUUUGGCACCUCGAUGUCGGCUCAUCACAUCCUGGGGCUGAAGUAGGUCCCAAGGGUAUGGCUGUUCGCCAUUUAAAGUGGUACGCGAGCUGGGUUUAGAACGUCGUGAGACAGUUCGGUCCCUAUCUGCCGUGGGCGCUGGAGAACUGAGGGGGGCUGCUCCUAGUACGAGAGGACCGGAGUGGACGCAUCACUGGUGUUCGGGUUGUCAUGCCAAUGGCACUGCCCGGUAGCUAAAUGCGGAAGAGAUAAGUGCUGAAAGCAUCUAAGCACGAAACUUGCCCCGAGAUGAGUUCUCCCUGAGACUUAGAGUCUCCUGAAGGAACGUUGAAGACGACGACGUUGAUAGGCCGGGUGUGUAAGCGCAGCGAUGCGUUGAGCUAACCGGUACUAAUGAACCGUGAGGCUUAACCUUACAACGCCGAAG
rnacentral:rRNA from 1 species